CUUAAACGUACCCUCACCAUCUUCAGAAAGUAAAGUUCUAGUUUUAAACGAGAUCAAAGGGCAAUGUUCUGGUCUACCACUGCGCCACUCUGGGUGCAAGACAAGAAGAAGCCACCAAGCAAUGCUGGAAAAGCACACAACGGCAAAAUAUGAAAAAUAAAACUGACUACUCUACGAGUACUUCUAAUGAUCCUGUAGCAACACAUCAUCUACGGUUGAAGAUGGUAUGGUCCUCUACACUCACAAGUACAGCUGGAAUGUUGUUUUGUGCAACUAAAAUGUGCAGUUAUUUAUUCCCACAAAUAUUUACGCACAAAUGUUUACAUUUACUACAAUAACGUGCAUUUUGUUACCACAAAUCUAAUUUUGAAAGUGUAUCAAGUAGGGUCGUCUUAGGGGCUCUAGGGAGAACAUUUAGGUAAGGCGAAGAGCUUAAUCAUUGAUAUAAUAGUCUUAUUUCUCACUGUUUCUUGCCAGCAUCCAUACACCACCAGUAAAGGGGUACAUAUCCAGUGAGAAUGAGAGAAGGACAGAGUGUUUUAAUCCUUUAUGCUAGUAAAAUGUGGAAUUCUUAUAUUACUUUUACAUACAUGGAUACACACACAAACAUUAAGUUAGUUAAGGUCUAACAAUCUAUAAUACACCCAAAUCUCUUCAUUGGCUAUGUGCAAGGAAGCAUAGGUGUGUUGUUUGAGAAAGAUGGACAGUGGUCGGGCUCUGUGUGGAAGACUAGUGAUUUUGUUGUUUGUAACUGUAGAAAGGCAACAAGUCAUGGUCUCCCGUACAGUGCAGGCUCUAACUUCAUAUUUAUGUAGUUCCAGGGGGAAGGGAAAGGCAGUAGCUAAAGACUGACAAACCAAUCACAGCUCAGAGGUGCACUUUUACGUUCACAUGAUACAAAAACUUCAUUGCACACCUGUUAUGAAAAGUGUAGUUAAAAGUAAGCAGUCAGCAUACUGAGAAUCUUUAAGAGUGUUCCUUUUGCAGGAGGUAUCGCAAGCAGAACUGACAUUAUCAUAUGAACUGAACACCAAACCUCUUUUUAGCAGUCCUGCAUUUGGGAAUCACUAAUUUGGCUACAGGAAGGACAUUAGUUCACCUGCUUGCUAAUCGUGUCAUCCAGUGAUACAGUAAACAGAUUUUAGUAACAAGAAACAUAGAAAUAAAAAGGAAAGCAGUGGGUCUUGGGUGUUAGUGAAUGUCAUACAACUGGUUCUGUAGUUAGUCAUAAAAUAAUAGGGACUUGUAGUAAUAGUUAUUAGAAUGUGGAGGAGGUCAAGGUCAUUUGGCUUAUACAUGUAGACAUGAAGUUCUGGAGGAAUAAGGACACACCACCUUUUAUGACAGAGGUGCACUUUGAAGGAGUGGUGGGCAAUAAAUGUUGGUAGAAAUGGUGUAUUAUCAAUGCACUGUAACCAUAUUUCAUUGACCUAGAGAUGUCAGCAUUUUCUAUAGACAGCAAGGCUUUUGGGGUCAGUUUUUUGACGAUUUUAACAUUGAGAAGCACUACCUUUAAAAAAUGUCAGAGCUGCCAUUGCUAAGUUAGUAGAUGCAGCAGACUAACAUUGCCUAAAAAAAGGCACGACGCAGGUGGAAAAAGUUUUAGCUAAUGUACGGAAACCCUGAGGGAGAGAAAUGCAGGCCAUCACUAGCAAAGUAGUUUGGACAAUCUGCCAUCUUCCUUCAGGCAAACAUAUAUUGGACAUUUUUCUGGAAUUAAAUAAACAGCUCAGCUAAUUGUUAAAAUAUA